CAGGACAGAUACAGCACAGGCAGUGACAGUGUGAGCUUUCCCCACAGUACCCUGUUUAUGUGCUUCAACCCUGAUAUGGAGGGACCCUUGUA
ensembl:misc_RNA